rnacentral:sRNA from 1 species
GUUUAGCACUUUUGCGUGAGGGAUAGUAGUGGAGCUCUUUUUUCUUGAUUUUUUUUAUCAAGAAAAAAAGCGGGAACGGAUAGCCCGGCCCUUG